AUCAAAUCAACCGGCACAUUUUUGCAAGUAAACCGUUACAUAAAUGAAAUAACCGUCGCCAUAGGGUGUUCUCCUGCUACAGUUGUUGUAACCGUAAUAGUAGGACAAUAUGUGGAUACGGUUCUUUGCAAAAUGGGUCUAUGGAGACAGUUCAAUUUCCCUCCUAACUUUAUCCAAUUUUAUUUUUAUUUUCAUUUUUCCCUCCUUUAACCAAACCCUAAACUGUUUUUUUUUUAAAAUUUCUAAUAGCAAAAUAGAUUAAGCCCACUCAGAUGAACUAUUUCCUAGAGCACAUCGAACAAGAACAACUCUUUCCACUCAUAAAUACUCUCUCAACUAUCAAACUAUCAAAGAAUACUCCCCCAAGCAAAUCUGAAGAUACCCAAAUUGCAAGGACUCGACAAGUAGAUCGACGGUCUCUUAAUUCCAGCAAAUAAAUUGUAAGGACUCAGCAAAUAGAGGACUCAGCAAGUAGUCGCCGCCGAGACUCCCAUCCAGAUAUUCCGGUGCCUUAGCUCCUGGGUACCAUAAUGGUCUGGCCGGGAUUUGCUUUUUCGGAGCCUUUUUAGGUGCGGCUUUUUUGGUACCGAACCGAAUCUGGCUUGGACUCUGCCGGCAGAGACUCUUAAUUUUUCAGUAGCUGCAAAGGUUAUACUCAUGGUGACUCUUAAUUUUUUCUAUAAGUUUAUGGUAAGAUACACUGAUUCCCUUUGUGUUUUGAUAAAAAUUAGUAGGUGAAGCAAUUUUGGUAGUAGUAGGGGUUGGAGAAGCUACAAAUGGUGCGAUAAGGGUAGAGACUUUAGCUCCUCAUCUUAAAGUUAUUAUUAAAAAAGCCAAAUUUUUGUCAAAGGUUAGUAUUGUUGUCUGCUUUUCUAAGUAGAAACACUAGAAACUUUCUUCAUUUUCAUUAGUAAAUGUAUUUAAAUGGUUUGGAUCCGAAUAAAUUUUAAUGAUUUACUGCUGUUUUAUUUUGGUUUUUCUGUGGGUUUCUUCUUGUUUGUUUAAUUUUAUGUCUCUAAAUAGUAAUACAAUUGCUGGGUUAAUACCUAAUUUAUGGAUAUUCCUAUGUGGUAAAAGUAUUUUGGAUGCCUAAUUACUCUCCAUAUUUUUUAAUGGCUGAGAUAUAUUGUUAACAAGGACCAAAUCUAAGAUCAUGUUAUAGCAAAUUACAAAAUGUAAAGAAGCGCAUGAGUGUUUGUGACUGAAAGCAAGUAUAUUCUAGCACCAUUAAGUCUAUCACAGGAGCCACUUAUUGUGCGGCAGAUUUUUUUUUUCAAUCUUGCCUCUCUGUUAAAAGUUUUGGUUUAUCCUAAUGAAUAACCAGUUGGUUAGAAUACUCCUCUUGCAAUCAUGUUAAUUAUAAAACUUCAACUUCCUUUACUAAACAGAUUAUAGAUUAAAUAAGUAAAAAAAGAAAAGAAAAAUAGAUUAUAGUACUGCUUUGACUAUUUAUUCUUUAUGUUUUUCUCUAACUUCAGUGUUUGUAUUGUGGACCAUCUCUUCAUAAGUGAUUUGUGGACCUGAUUAUGUUAAAGAUAUGUAAUAUGUGUAGUCAAAUUUCCUGUGUUACUGGACUUCAUCUCUUAGUUAAAUCCUUGGACUUCAUCUCUUAGUUCCAGAUAUUCCAUCUCAUGCACAAAAUUCACAUGAUACAAUUGUAGAAACAUCGGAAGAGGAGGAAGGGUUUGAUGAUACGGAUUGGGACUGGAUGGAAGCAGAUGAUUAAAUAACAAAAUUAUGAAAUUCUUUUAAGUAUAUUCUUUUUUGGGAUCUCCAACGUCCUCUUCUGGUUUAGCCGUUCUACAUUUUGAGCAUCUGUCGGAAGAGAGGAUGCAACAAAGAAUACAUGAAAAGUUGAACGAACAAAAGGAUGCUAUGGAACAAAAUAUUACAAUGAACGUCAUCGCACGACUUCAGCGUCAGAACCCAGAUUUGCGACUUGAUCUUGACAUGUUAAGGUUCAGUGCACGUUCAUCUGUAGAAGCUUCCUCUGCACAACAAGUUGUUGUUCAAGUAAACAGUCAACUACCAAAUGUUAUACAUCUUCUUCUAUUUCUUCUUCUUCUCCUCUUUCCUUGGUUGGGAUUUUGCUUUUGUUCAAGGCAGAGUGGAUAUGGUAAUAUCCUUUUUUCUUCCUAUAAAUGUGCUUAUUUCGGUAUUAUUGGUAUCCAACUUCUUUUAUAACAGCUUCCGUUUCAGUGUUGGUUAAUUUUAUGCUAUAUAAUGCCUUCUUUAGAUUCUUGGUCAUUUUUAUGCUAUAUACACUCCAAAUAUCAUAAUGCAUGAACGUGGUGGCUGCCACAAAUAUAUGUGAGCCAAAUCCGAUGGUUAAAUAUCAAAAGUUGUUCUAGAUCUUUUCCUUCUUCAUGAAAAUGGAAGGUUAUGUGGCUGUCACUGUCAGUCAUUUUUUCCUGCUAAUGUGCAGCAGUGAACAACAACUGACUGAUUUUGUGCAUAUCAAGAGCCUUAUUUUAAAUAAAAAUGUUCAUUCUUUAUGAGUAGCAUAUGAUAUGUCUUUAUGUUCGAGUGCUCCUGGUUCCCCCCCCCUUCUCCCUUUGGUACGAUUUUGUGCAUUUCCAUAUGGGACCAAGUGAAUACUAAAUGCAUGAGUAGUUAAUUGACUCUCUUCUGGAGAGCUCAUAUAAGUUGGGUAACUAUCUGAGGUGUUAUCAAGUUCUAGGUGAUAAAUAAUUUUGAAAUUUGACUAACUAACCAGAUACACAAAUAGUUGUGCUCUGUUUUCCAGUGCUACAAAUUCUAGGAUAUGGUACCAAGGUUAUGGAUACCCUAUUUCUUUGAUUGCAAGGGAGAGUAGAAGCCCACUCAUGCCAUGCUAUAUUUUGAAAUGAUUAUGCCAGUUUAUCUGUAGCGUAAAAGAGAGAAAAAAAGUUGUAGUGUCAAAUGUUCCAACCUAUUUUCCUUGACCAAUAAAAGGAACUUAACUAAUUAUAGACCAAAUGAAUAAAAGUUUGUACUCUAAAAUUAAUUUAUAAAUGGCUUUUGAAAAUGAUAAAGAUGGUGAGAUAUAAUAUUGUUGAGUAGGUGAAGAACAUAUGAUAUACAUAUCUGCACUAACAUGGACAAGCCAGAUCUAACUAAUUUUAGCACAGAGAUGGUUGUUCAGUUGUUCUCCUGAUUAUAUUGAUAUAAUAUAAAUGUAGCAUAUACUUUAAAGCAUAUAUUAGCAUCAUUCUUUAUAGGCUAUAAGGAAAACAAAAUAAAAUAUACUAGUUCAAAAGGUACUACUGUCAUGGCUUGGCAUCUUAUGGCCAACUUGGAAGACUUGAACUUCUUUUGUAGUUUCUUUUUGUUUUGCAACUACUAUUGUUAGUUCUGGAGUUUUCAUGUUCUUUUCUUUUUUUAUGGCAAUUUGUGCUAUGAGUAUUCUUAGAUCGGAUUCUUUUGAAGGGUAAUAACUUUAUUUACUCUCUUUUGUAGGUGGAGUAGAUCAAGAAAUAGAUGAUGAAGACAACGAAGAACUAGACCUUACUUGAGAUGAAUCUUGAAUUGUUACAGAAGAAUAUUCUAGGAAUUUUUUGUUACCAACAUUUUUGAAACUUAUUUACUCUCUUGAAAUAUACUAAACUUAUGUACUAAGGAGUAGAACAUUUGCUUUUUGGAUAUUAUUUGCUUGAUGGAUAAUUUUA